UGCACAUCAACACGGUAUGUGUUAAUGGAUACACACAAUGUUAAUGUGCAUUAGUGCAUCUGCAUGUGCGCUAAUGCAGCUUAGCUAUUUGCACCUAAAUUUAAUGCACCUUAAUGUACAUUAGUGUAUCCAUGUGUAGAUGUGCACCUAAAUUGCCUUAAUGCACCUCAAGCAAAGGUGCAUUAAGUUUAGGCAUGCAUAAAUACACAUGUAGACAUGACCAGUGGAUGGGAAUGCUAGGAGAGCUGUGUGUACUGACAGAUGCCCCUUAGGGGUGCAGCAGGCAAUGACUCAUCCUGGAGCUGACCCCAGUUUCCAUCGCUCAUGCAAACAGGAUGCCACCUGCAGGCCAUGCUGCUUGUUCUACCGGGCAUGGCCACAGCUAUCACAGCAGAAACAGGCAGGGGAGAAGGGCUGCAAAUUGGCUGAGCCCCUGAGGCCAGAGAGUUGAAGAUGGAGCAGGCCCUGCAGAAAAAGCUGGAGCCCCUGACCAGCAACAGCUUUCACCAGAACAUGGUUUGGGGUGCGAAGAACUACACCUACAUGUUCCAGUUGUGAGGAGAGGUCAGUAGUUCUCUGAAUGGAUCGGGCAUUGUGCAGAUCAAUGAGAAGACCAAGAAGCAGACAGUGAUCGGGAGGAUCAUUGAGACCCAAGUCUUCAACAGCAGUAAGAAUCCCCUCAAGCUCCUGCCCCCUGCACUGAGCCUGGCUCUGCUAGAGCCCUUCAUCUCUGGCCUGCAGCCUGACUAUUCUUUCUCUUGGUAGGUGACUGGAUCAUGCUGACUUACAAGUGGGGGUAACUCCUACAGAAAUCACUGCAGCAGGAAGAAGAGAAGGGUUGUGAUAAUGAUCUUCUGCAACCAGAAGACCUUGGCAGUGGGUGCCGUGUGGGGGCUGGGGAAUGGCUGCUGUGUGUGGGAAGCUUAGGGAGCACUGGGGACAGGUCCUUUGGUCCUCCUCACCGCUGAGCAAUGGGUGCCUGCACCAGUAGAGGGUGUGUUCCCUUUUGCUUGGUUUAGCAGGCAGCCAGCUACAUUGGUUUUUAGUAUGAAGGGCUGAGAUUGGGGUC
rnacentral:lncRNA from 1 species